rnacentral:rRNA from 1 species
CAUGCAAGUCGGACGAUGAAGCCCUUCGGGGUGGAUUAGUGGCGAACGGGUGAGUAACACGUGAGCAACCUGCCCUUGACUCUGGGAUAAGCCUGGGAAACUGGGUCUAAUACCGGAUAGGACCCCUUGCCGCAUGGUGGGGGGUGGAAAGCCUUGUGCGGUCUUGGAUGGGCUCGCGGCCUAUCAGCUUGUUGGUGGGGUGAUGGCCUACCAAGGCGACGACGGGUAGCCGGCCUGAGAGGGUGACCGGCCACACUGGGACUGAGACACGGCCCAGACUCCUACGGGAGGCAGCAGUGGGGAAUAUUGCACAAUGGGCGGAAGCCUGAUGCAGCGACGCCGCGUGGGGGAUGACGGCCUUCGGGUUGUAAACCCCUUUCGGCAGGGAACAAGCCGCUUCGGUGGUGAGGGUACCUGCGGAAGAAGCGCCGGCUAACUACGUGCCAGCAGCCGCGGUAAUACGUAGGGCGCGAGCGUUAUCCGGAAUUAUUGGGCGUAAAGAGCUCGUAGGCGGUUUGUCGCGUCUGCUGUGAAAGCCCGGGGCUCAACCCCGGGUCUGCAGUGGGUACGGGCAGGCUGGAGUGCAGUAGGGGAGACUGGAAUUCCUGGUGUAGCGGUGAAAUGCGCAGAUAUCAGGAGGAACACCGAUGGCGAAGGCAGGUCUCUGGGCUGUAACUGACGCUGAGGAGCGAAAGCAUGGGGAGCGAACAGGAUUAGAUACCCUGGUAGUCCAUGCCGUAAACGUUGGGCACUAGGUGUGGGGGCCAUUCCACGGUUUCCGCGCCGCAGCUAACGCAUUAAGUGCCCCGCCUGGGGAGUACGGCCGCAAGGCUAAAACUCAAAGGAAUUGACGGGGGCCCGCACAAGCGGCGGAGCAUGCGGAUUAAUUCGAUGCAACGCGAAGAACCUUACCAAGGCUUGACAUGUGCCGGACCGUCCCAGAGAUGGGGCUUCCCUUCGGGGCCGGUUCACAGGUGGUGCAUGGUUGUCGUCAGCUCGUGUCGUGAGAUGUUGGGUUAAGUCCCGCAACGAGCGCAACCCUCGUUCCAUGUUGCCAGCACUUCGGGUGGGGACUCAUGGGAGACUGCCGGGGUCAACUCGGAGGAAGGUGGGGACGACGUCAAAUCAUCAUGCCCCUUAUGUCUUGGGCUUCACGCAUGCUACAAUGGCCGGUACAAAGGGUUGCGAUACUGUGAGGUGGAGCCAAUCCCAGAAAGCCGGUCUCAGUUCGGAUUGGGGUCUGCAACUCGACCCCAUGAAGUCGGAGUCGCUAGUAAUCGCAGAUCAGCAACGCUGCGGUGAAUACGUUCCCGGGCCUUGUACACACCGCCCGUCAAGUCACGAAAGUCGGUAACACCCGAAGCCGGUGGCCCAACCCCUUGUGGGAGG